rnacentral:rRNA from 1 species
AUGACUAGGGACAAUCUCAAGAAGAGAAACUUGAAAAGGCCUAAAGAUUGUGAGUACUGUUCAUGUAAAUAAUCUAUACAACAUCUUUUCUUUGAUUGCAUUGUAGCCAAACAAAUCUCAAAUGUGAUCAAAUUGUUAUUUGGUAGAGAUUUAGGGGUGGAUUUCUCUUAUGUUGCUUCUCUCUGGGCAAUAGGGAAGAAACAAGAUGCACUAAACGCUGUUAAUGUUGUUGCUCUCUGGGUUCUAUGGAAACACAGAAAUAGCAUGAUUUUUGGUGCUCCCUGGAUUUCUCCUAACCAUAUUUGGUGGCUAGUCUUAAGACUAAUAAGAAAAUGGGAGGUCAUAUUCAAGGACCAUAUGACUUCCCUGAUGAAAGAUUUGUGUCUUCAUGUUCAGCAAAUGAUCCUACCCCGUUUCCAGCUGGAGUGGGGGUAG